CGAAGAAGAACCGUGGUCAGCUCCGGAUAGUACACACCACUGGUUCUCAGUCGUUCGAGCAGGCGAAGAUGUUAAGUGCGUUGUAUUUAGUUAUUUAUGUGUCAAGUUCUCACACAAAUACUUAAGACCUAUUUUAUGAAUGUUUGUAUUAGGCAUUGGGGAGGACCUUGGGCCCAGAUCCUACCAUGCUAGAGUUUUGGGAUCGAGCCCACACGCCUAAGGACGAGCGUGCUUUGUCUCAGGCAGCUUUAGCUAUACGGGUAAAACUCAUCUUACUAUUUAGCUUUUAAUAAUAUUCAAUCAUAAAUAAAAUGAUAUAAUUAACAUACGUAUAUGGAAUACAUUACAGGACCGAUUUCAGAAGCUUUGGGACGAGCGUAUAGCUGAGCUAGAGACUAUUAGGAGGGGUUCUGAGCCAUUAGAUUCUGUCACCCCUCUUCCCGAUAUUGUAUUAGAUCGAGAUGAGGAGCUGAGACUAUGGGUCGCGUCUCAGGAUCCCCCUACUAGCAGUACUGGCAGAUAUCGAGUGUUGGGUCUGCCGAGGAUACCCGCAUAUACACUUCCUGGAGGUAAUAUUUUUUUAUGUUUCAUGAAAUUAUCCGAAUUUAUCACAUUAUAUAAAUUAUUAUUAGUAAUCGAAUUUGUAUCUCUUUAUAGGCUCCAGCCAGCGCCAGCGUCUGAGAGCACAUGUCGGAC
rnacentral:lncRNA from 1 species